rnacentral:rRNA from 1 species
UACGGAAGGCAGCAGUGGGGAAUAUUGGACAAUGGGCGAAAGCCUGAUCCAGCCAUGCCGCAUGAGUGAAGAAGGCCUUCGGGUUGUAAAGCUCUUUUAGUGAGAAAGAUAAUGACGGUACUCACAGAAGAAGUCCUGGCUAACUCCGUGCCAGCAGCCGCGGUAAUACGGAGAGGGCUAGCGUUAUUCGGAAUUAUUGGGCGUAAAGAGCGCGUAGGCUGAUUAGUAAGUUAAAAGUGAAAUCCCAAAGCUUAACUUUGGAAUUGCUUUUUAAAACUGCUAGUCUAGAGAUUUGAAAGAGGAUAGAGGAAUUCCUAGUGUAGAGGUGAAAUUCGUAAAUAUUAGGAGGAACACCAGUGGCGAAGGCGUCUAUCUGGUUCAAAUCUGACGCUGAGGCGCGAAGGCGUGGGGAGCGAAACAGGGAUUAGAUACCCGU